rnacentral:misc_RNA from 1 species
AAGCUGCGAUAAGUAAUGUGAAUUGCAGAGCUCAGUGAAUCAUCGAGUCUUCGAACGCACAUUGCGCCCCCUGGUAUUCCGAGUGGCAUGCCUGUUCGAGCGUCAUUUCAACCCUCAAGCUCUGCUUGGUAUUGGGCUGUCGCGGGGGGGUUUUCUUCCCCGCGGGCCUUAAAGCCAUCGGCGGUGGUGCCCCUGCUUCAAGCGUAGUAAAGUUUAUUCUUUCGCUUUGGAGGCUAGGGAGCCGCUCGCCGGAUAAACCAGGCUCUCGCGCCUAUUCACACAAGGUUGACCUCGGAUCAGGUAGGGAUACCCGCUGAACUUAAGC